rnacentral:rRNA from 1 species
GCCUAACACAUGCAAGUCGAGCGCCCAGCAAUGGGAGCGGCAGACGGGAUAGUAACACGUGGGAACGUACCCUUCAGUUCGGAACAACCCAGGGAAACUUGGGCUAAUACCGAAUACGUCCGUAAGGAGAAAGAUUUAUCGCUGAAGGAUCGGCCCGCGUCUGAUUAGCUAGUUGGUGAGGUAAUGGCUCACCAAGGCGACGAUCAGUAGCUGGUCUGAGAGGAUGGCCAGCCACACUGGGACUGAGACACGGCCCAGACUCCUACGGGAGGCAGCAGUGGGGAAUAUUGGACAAUGGGCGCAAGCCUGAUCCAGCCAUGCCGCGUGGAUGAUGAAGGCCCUAGGGUUGUAAAGCUCUUUCGCCAGGGACGAUAAUGACGGUACCUGGAUAAGAAGCCCCGGCUAACUUCGUGCCAGCAGCCGCGGUAAUAC